GUCCACCCGGUCUCAUCCCGAACCCGGAAGUUAAGCCCGCGAGCGCAGAUGGUACUGCAUUGGAGACGAUGUGGGAGAGUAUGCCGCCGCCAACA
rnacentral:rRNA from 1 species